rnacentral:rRNA from 1 species
GAGGAAUAAGCAUCGGCUAACUCCGUGCCAGCAGCCGCGGUAAUACGGGGGAUGCAAGCGUUAUCCGGAAUCAUUGGGCGUAAAGCGCCUGUAGGUUGUUUAAUAAGUCUGUUGUUAAAGACUAGGGCUUAACCCUAGGAAAGCAAUGGAAACUACUAGACUUGAGUAUGAUAGGGGUAGAGGGAAUUUCUAGUGUAGCGGUGAAAUGCGUAGAUAUUAGGAAGAACACCGGUGGCGAAGGCGCUCUACUGGAUCAUUACUGACACUCAGAGGCGAAAGCUAGGGUAGCAAAAGGGAUUAGAUACCCCUGUAGUCCUAGCCGUAAACGAUGGAUACUAGAUGUUGCGUUUAUUAUGCAGUAUCGUAGCUAACGCGUUAAGUAUCCCGCCUGGGGAGUACGCUCGCAAGGGUGAAACUCAAAGGAAUUGACGGGGGCCCGCACAAGCGGUGGAGCAUGUGGUUUAAUUCGAUGCAACGCGAAGAACCUUACCAAGGCUUGACAUACUACAAAUUUCUUUGAAAGAGGAAAGUGCCUUUGGGAAUGUAGAUACAGGUGGUGCAUGGCUGUCGUCAGCUCGUGUCGUGAGAUGUUGGGUUAAGUCCCGCAACGAGCGCAACCCUUAUUUUUAGUUGCUAAUUUAUUAGGUUUUCUAAAAAGACUGCCGGUGACAAACCGGAGGAAGGUGAGGAUGACGUCAAGUCAGCAUGCCCCUUAUGCCUUGGGCUACACACGUGCUACAAUGGUUAAGACAAAGAGUUGCGAGCUCGCGAGAGUCAGCUAAUCUCAUAAACUUAGCCUAAGUUCGGAUUGUAGGCUGCAACUCGCCUACGUGAAG